rnacentral:rRNA from 1 species
CCUACGGGUGGCAGCAGUGGGGAAUAUUGCACAAUGGGGGAAACCCUGACGCAGCGACGCCGCGUGAGUGAAGAAGUAAUUCGUUACGUAAAGCUCUAUCAGCAGGGAAGAAAGAAAUGACGGUACCUGACUAAGAAGCCCCGGCUAACUACGUGCCAGCAGCCGCGGUAAUACGGAGGGGGCAAGCGUUAUCCGGAUUUACUGGGUGUAAAGGGAGCGUAGGCGGCGAUGCAAGUCUGAAGUGAAAGGCGGGGGCCCAACCCCCGGACUGCUGUGGACACUGUAUGGCUUGAGUGCAGGGGAGGUAAGUGGAAUUCCUGGUGUAGCGGUGAAAUGCGUAGAUAUUAGGAGGAACACCAGUUGCGAAGGCGGCUUACGGGACUGUAACUGACGUUGAGGCUCGAAAGCGUGGGGAGCAAACAGGAUUAGAUACCCCUGUAGUC